AUUGAACGCAGGCGGCAGGCCUAACACAUGCAAGUCGAACGGUAGCACAGAGAGCUUGCUCUCGGGUGACGAGUGGCGGACGGGUGAGUAAUGUCUGGGAAACUGCCUGAUGGAGGGGGAUAACUACUGGAAACGGUAGCUAAUACCGCAUAACGUCGCAAGACCAAAGAGGGGGACCUUCGGGCCUCUUGCCAUCAGAUGUGCCCAGAUGGGAUUAGCUAGUAGGCGGGGUAAUGGCCCACCUAGGCGACGAUCCCUAGCUGGUCUGAGAGGAUGACCAGCCACACUGGAACUGAGACACGGUCCAGACUCCUACGGGAGGCAGCAGUGGGGAAUAUUGCACAAUGGGCGCAAGCCUGAUGCAGCCAUGCCGCGUGUGUGAAGAAGGCCUUCGGGUUGUAAAGCACUUUCAGCGGGGAGGAAGGCGGUACGGUUAAUAACCGUGCUGAUUGACGUUACCCGCAGAAGAAGCACCGGCUAACUCCGUGCCAGCCGCCGCAGUAA
rnacentral:rRNA from 1 species